UUCCUAGUGGCUCAGACGGUAAAGAAUCUGCCUGCCAUGCAGGAGACUCAGGUUCGAUCCCUGGGUAGGGAA
rnacentral:tRNA from 1 species